CAAUGGAGUUUAUUUAGGCCAUGGGGAGGGGAGUUGAGAGGGUAGUAGAGACAGAGAAAGGCAAAGAGAGGGGGGCAGAAAGAAGAGAAGUAGAGGCUGCCCAUGAACAUAUGGAGAGAGUGGGGAGAGGAAUGGGGGUAGAAGAGACAGAGGGGGAAGGGGGGAAGAGAGUAAGAGGGCAAGAGAGUGAGGAGGGGGCAAGCAGCCCCUUUUAUAAUGAGUCAGGCAUACCUGGCUGUUGCCAGGUAACUGUGGGGCAGAGUCUAAAAGAAAUGCUAACAGUUAUGCUUCUUCUUUUUUUUUUUUUUUUUUUUUUUUUAGCCUAGAAGGUAAAAAGGCUGUGAUAAAUCAGGCUAGAAAACAACAAGGCCUUUGGUAGAAAGGUCUGUGGCCUUGUGGGUGUGGCUGAUACUUACAGGAACCUCGUCCAAGCCCAGUGCUUGGAAAGUUCCUCUUCAGUCUCUCCCAAGACCUCAUAAGAUUCUCCAGAGUUCUAUUUAGGAACAUUUCACAGCUUUUGACCCACAUGGCAUAAGGAGAGUUGUUAAUACCCACCAAGACCUUGAGGUGCCCUGUACCCCCAGAGUCCUUGGACUGGGUAUCCCUGUGGGAUCUGUCUGCCUGGCAAAUGGAUACUGAUUGAUUAUGUUAUAAAGUACUAAGGGCCAAGGGCAGGCAUGGGCUCUGGCAAGCUUGUGUGUGGGUUGGACUCAGGGUUUGGUCCAGCCCUUCUUGGAGAAACAUUCUCCCUCUGAGGGCCCAGAUAGUGUGUCCUUUUCUGUGAGGCUUGGAGGUCAAGGGUUCUAAGUCCUGUUCAUAGUCACUCCCUUCACCUCACCACACCAAGGACAGUGACAGCAUGUAAAUUCAUUUUCCCCCUCAGGAGUCUCACUGAAAACACUUCUCUGGUAUUCUAGAGCCAUGCCUGGAUGCCGGCUACAAGACAGAGCUGCUGACAUACUGUAUAAGAUGAAUCGGAUUUGUAAGGCAGUGUAGGAACUUCAACCCACCCGGGUCAAUUACCAAGGUGACUUUAUUUGCUGAGGAAAUUAUCAUGAUUAAUAUGUAUUACUUCACCAUGUACCACCAGGCAGGUGAAUGAGAGGUCAGAAAUCAGUCAUGAACCAUAUUCAGGGAAUAGUGAGAAUAACAACGUCUCAGGGUCCAUCUCUGUACUUACUGCAUACUCAAAGCUCACAGCUAAAUGGAGGAUGAACACACAUUUACUACCUGAGUCCAAGCCUUUCUGCCCAAUGGGAGGUGAGGAUGGAUCACUAGAAUGGGCCAGCAAGAUGGCUCAGUGGGUAAAGGCACACUGGCUGGCAACAUGAGUCCAGUCUCGAGAACCCAUGCAAAGGUGGAAGGAGGGAACAGACUCUAUAAAGUUAUCCUCUGACCUUUACACUCCUGCUGUGACAUGCACCCCCACAAAGAAAGAAAAGAUAAACAAACAAACAAGCCUAAAACAAAUCAUCUCAUCUCCUGAGCAGAAAUCCUGCUGGGAGCUCCUGGGGAAUUGGGUCUUUAUUCCCAGCUAGCGUUGGCAACAUGACAGAUGUCCUUUGUUGGGGUAUAAUUGCUAGGAUAAUCUCUGUUUCCAUUUAGCAGACAGACACAUUUCAGGCCACAUGAGCCCUGCUUGCUGACUCUGUCCCGGAGAAGUGCUGAGUGUGGACUUAGACACUGAGCUGUCAGCAUCCUGGCUGUUCGCUGAAGAGAAGAUGGGACAUGGCUACAGAAUUCACCUUUACCUUAAUUCGAGUCUUCUGGAUUUCACUGUUGGGAUCCUCCGGGGCUAACUGACUUUAUGAUGAAGGGAAGUCUGGUGUGCAGAGUGGAGGUGGCUGGCACAGGUUCCCUGGAAAAUAAAGCAGGCUCAAAGGCGCAUAGGCCACUCCUAGGCAGAGUUUCUACUCCUGGGCCCUUCCUUCACAUCCAUGGAGGCUCACCUCCUCCCUUGUGAGAUUACUCCUGUGCUUACAGUGAAUAGAGGACACCUCCCUCUUGGUUGACAUUAGAUAGUGACACCUUGGUAGGGUGAGCAGUAAUUUGCCACAGCGUUCGCAGAAGCCCUGAGUUACUUCAGUCUCCAAGGGCUGCCUUUUGCACAGAGUCAAAUCACUGUGUUCUAAACACACAGGCAAGUGUCCUCACCAACUGUGUCACAAGCCAGGAGAACAUGGCAGCUGAGAUGUUAAGCAGUUUGCUCAAGGUCACCCUAGAGACAUUUCCUAGAGUUUUGUAAUCUGGUGUAAAGGUGGUUUUUGUUUUGUGUGUGUAUGUAUAAAGGUUUUAAAAGAGGGCACCUUCUUUUUCUGUUGUCCCAAAGGACACAGCAAUGAUAACCAACAGAUGUCAAAUGAGCACAAGACAGGAGCCAGCAGCCAGGCUUUGGCCACUGUGGUCUGCAAAGUGUUUCAAACAGUUCUUUCAGAAGACUUUGACAGACAUUAGAUCACUAACAUGAAGUCUACCACAGUGCAGGGCAUGUCCACCAUGAUCUAAAUGCUGGUUCCUAAGAUUGGGGGAUGGUGUAGGUGGUGUGCUGGCACAGGCUUACAAUCCUAGCACGCAUACACAGAGACACACAGAGACGCACACAUGGCAGGGAGGCAUCACUUAUUAACCGUCGAGUUUCCAACAUGGUUUCUAGUGGCAGCAAGUAUGGAAUGUCACCAAACACAAUCAUCUAUAGAUCACUAAGAUGCCUCUAAUUUAUACUCAUCCAGGGCACAAGGCAGAUGUGAAUUUCGAAUCCAUGAGGGCUUCUAUGUUCUCCGUGCCACAAAGUGACCCAUAAUGUAAACUUUAAAAGGUCACUGUCAUUUUAAGAAGCUAUUCAUAGGCAAUAGGAAAAAGUAAUGCAGAGUGGAGAGAAGCUAGAUGAAGUGAAAUUAGACUAUCAACGAUCCUUUCCUAAACUCCAGAAAAAAAAAUCUCUCCCCUCCUCUCUCCUCUUCUCUCUUCUCCUCUCUUCCCCUCCCUCCCUACCUCUCCUCAGUUUCCUAGGUUGGUCUUGAACUAGUGAACUUAACUCAGUUCCUCAGUAGCUGAAGGCCAGACAUGUACCAUCAGAUCAGCUUUAUCUUAACUCUUACACUCUUGGCAUUUUGCUUCUCGACUGGGAUGUAGUGCUGAGAACUGAACCUGAGUCUUCUACAAGAGCAAGUAAGUACUCUUAAAAGGUAUGUGCGUGUGUGUGUGUGCGUGUGUGUGAGUGUGUGUGUGUGCAUGUGAGUGUGCCUGUCUGUCUGUCUUGUUUGUCUGUGUAUACAGGUAGGCAUGUGCCACGGCCCUCAUGUGGCGGUCAGAAGACAACGUUUCAGGAAUCGGUCCUCUCUUUUCACCUUGCUUUUUUGAAGCGGGGUCUCUCUCAUUACUGCUGGUGCACUGUGUACUGGCCGAUGGGGGUGCUGGGAUUGCAGCUGCACAUCAGCCGUUCACAUGGGUUCUGGGGAUUUAACUCAGGUUAGUCAGGCUGGCUUGCAAGCGCUUUUAUAGCCAUCGCAAGGCCCAACAUUUAGAUUUAGGAUUCCAAGGCCCCAAAGUCUGUACUCCAAAAGAUAAAAUCAAGAGAUUUAAAUCCUUUAAUCCCAGCCCUUGGGAGGCAGAGACAGGCAGGUCUUUGAGUGUCCAGAACAGCCAGGGCUACACAGAAAAUCACCGUCUUGAAAAAACAAAACAAACUACCCACAAACAAACAAACAAACAAACAAACAAAAUAACAACAAAAAGGUUUGAGAGAGGAUUAAAGAGGAUAUCCUGAAAUCAGCCUCUCAGCCUCUGAUAUUUACAAACUACCACAGGCAAGUGCACACACACACACACACACACAAGCUACCACAGGCAAGUGCACACACACACACACACACACACAAGCUACCACAGGCAAGUGCACACACACACACACACACAUACACACACACACACACACAAGCUACCACAGGCAAGUGCACACACACACACACACACAAGCUACCACAGGCAAGUAUACACACAUACACACACACACACAAAGCUACCACAAGCAAGUAUACACACACACACAAGCUACCACAGGCAAGUGCACACACACACACAAGCUACCACAGGCAAGUGCACACACACACAAGCUACACACACAUACACACACACACACACACACACACACGCACACCCCAAGGGAAAGGUGGUGAUAGAAGGAGCAUGUACGUUCCCCUCAGAGUCCUUUCCUCUGUCUUCUUGGUCUCUUCUGAUGGCUGCUUCUUUCAAAGCCACUUCUUUCUCAUCACAUGGUACCAUUUAUGCAUCCUGGCACACCAUCAUGAAGAGAUGAACAUUCCAACCUACAGAGAGAGAACACUUGACAAACCUGGAGUGAUUUUUUCUUUUCUUUUUUUAGUGGCUGAGGGUAGCCUCCUUGGACGUUGGUAUUGCGUCCCUCCAAACCUCUCACUUCUGCUUCUAAGAAGCAGUCUGAACCCUCAGUAGAAUGAUGUCUUUUGGGGUCCUGGGAGUCCUUUAGUGAGGAGCCAGGCUGGGGAGGAGGGUGACGACACCGACACCGGGUUAGAACCUUCAGAGGACUCUCCAGAAGCUGCUUAGGGAUACUGGUUGGGGGCUCUGGGGAGGAGGUGUACUUCAUUCUUGUUUUGAAAGUGUGGUAGCAGGAUGUAUACAAACUUACCUGAUGAACCAAGGAUCGCCCCCUUCCCCCCAGCUGUAGGGUUUUACCUAAUUUGCAGGAACUUGGCUGGUACCGUGGAAAUCCAGGGGAUUGCUGGACCCAGCAAUGGGUUUCUCAUGGGACAGACAGGUCCUUUACUAAAUCAUGGUCUUAAAGUGGUAACCACAUCCUCUACGGUGGGAGAGCAGGAAGAGGAGUAAAGGCCAUCUCCUUACCCGUGUCAUGUCUUCGUCAAAGGAACCCCUAUCACGUUUAUGCUAUAGGUACUGUCCGUGUAUUACUGUUUACAGGGAGCAGGUGGGCUGAUGUUAGCUUCAAAGAGCUGGAGUGAUCACUGGGGUCAGCCGGUAUUCAAUUCUGAGCAGGAGAGGAAGCACGCCCCUCACUCAGACCAGAAGCCAAGGUCCUGCUGCCUGGGAGGAACACCAGGGCCCUGAGCAGCCCGCAGUACCAGAUCUGCAGCCAGUGGCUCUGAAGAUCCGGGAGCACGUGGCGUGUUCGCCCUGGUUUCAGGCUCCGACGCACCCAUUUCCUCUCGUGGUUUUAGGACUUCAGCAUUUACUGAGACCAGAGCGCCUUUGCCAAAGAUCAAGGUUUGUUGCGCAAUCUUUGAUGAAUCUGAAAAGAACCAAGUUGUGGAGAAAAGCCUGCACUCACCACGCCACAGGCCGCUCUGGACAGGAUGGGGUUCCCUACGCCGCAGGGGGGCGGCGUUGCGAGAAGCGAGUGCGGUCACCCGAACCACUUUGACCCGGGGCUUCAAUCGUGGCGUGGUCGGGCUGCGGGUGUGUGUUUCCGGGGGCUGGACCUAAACAGAGACACAGCAAAACCAGAUGGAUCAGAAUCAGCUCCUGGCGAGUCCGGAGCUGGCCUACCUUGAGACAGAGAGUGCACGGCGACCACCCGGGGGCAGCGUGGGCCGCGUGGAGUGGGACAGUGGCGCCGCACGCCGCGCACUUCCUGUUCAACGCGCGCGCCGCCUGCCACCGCCCAGCGCUCCCAGAGCCUACGUUGGUGCCAGACCCGGCCCCCACAGUUCCCCGGGUCCCGGGGGCCGCGGCUCAGAGGCCGCCCGGGGCGGGCGCCCUGCCCUAUUCUCCCCUAGGGGCUGGGGCGCGCCCUUCGGCCCGCAGAACCCAGCCAGCCGCCGCCACAGUUUAUUCCUGCGGCCACGCGCCAGCCCAAUUGCGACGAGUCUUCGCCUUUGCACCUCCUCUUCCCCCUCUGCCCUCCCUCUCGCCCAAAGAGGAGGCCCUCCGGGUCCCAGGCUCCCUGUCGCUUUAUUGUGCGGCCCAGGGUUAUGCAUUUCUCUACCAAGUGUCUCUGGCCACCGUUUCCAUCGAGGCACAGACACGAGAAGGCUGUUUUCCAAAUUGCUGUUGUUAAUUGCACCUGCCUGGCCGACUACCUCUGGGAAUUUGUGGGAGGAGCCGAGAGGUGGAAAAUGUUGCUUCGCUUUGCAGAAGGAGGAAAACUUUAUCACCCAGCACAAGACUUCUGCCACGCGUAACCAAAAGUAGCACGGGCCGAGACUCUGCACCCAAUGAUUCCGUAGGAGAAAGAGGACGCUCCAACCCGGCAUUCCGCGGACUGCCAGCCCCUCGGGUGGAGCCCCGCGUGUUACCUGCGCCACCCGCCCUCCCCGCGGAAGUCCCCACGAGGUGUUUUCAGGGUGGGAGGACAGUCAUAAAAAGCGCGUGGCUCCAGUGUAACGGCAGCAGUCCUGGGAGGCAGCGAGGGGACCGAACCCCGGGGACGAGGCACCGGAAUUAACUUCUAGCUAAAGUUAUGGGAAGCGCAGCCAUGGACACCAAGAAGAAGAAAGAGGUUUCCAGCCCGGGCGGGAGCAGUGGCAAAAAGAACCCUAGCCUGAAGAGGCGGUCACUGCGAGUGCACAUUCCGGACCUGAGUUCCUUUGCCAUGCCGCUCCUGGAUGGAGAUGUGGAGAAUUCAGAAAAGCAUUCAUCUCGGAAGGUGGACAGUCCCUUCAGCUCAGGCAGCCCCUCCAGAGGACUCUUCUCCAGAGGCCCCCAGCCCCGGCCCUCCAGCCCUGUGUCUGCUCCCGUGAGGCCCAAGACGAGCCCUGGCUCUCCCAAAACUGUGUUCCCGUUCUCCUACCAGGAGUCCCCUCCACGCUCUCCACGCCGGAUGAGCUUCAGUGGGAUCUUCCGCUCCUCAUCCAAAGAGUCUUCGCCCAACUCCAACCCGUCUACCUCUCCUGGGGGCAUCCGGUUCUUCUCACGGUCCAGAAAAACCUCCAGCGUCUCCUCUUCUCCGUCAACACCCACCCAAGUGACCAAGCAGCACCCAUUUCCCCUGGAGUCCUACAAGCAGGAGCCUGAACGCCCAGAGAGCCGCAUCUAUGCUUCCUCGUCCCCUCCAGACACUGGGCAGCGCUUCUGCCUGGCCUUUCAGAGCCCAGCGCGACCUCCGCUGGCAUCCCCGACAUACCAUGCUCCUUUGAGAACUGCGGUGCUGGCGGCGGCCCCGGGACCCGCGGAAGCCGGCAUGCUGGAGAAGCUGGAGUUCCAGGAGGAAGCAGAAGACUCAGAAAGUGGCGUUUAUAUGCGAUUCAUGAGGUCACACAAGUGUUAUGACAUCGUUCCAACCAGUUCAAAGCUUGUUGUCUUCGACACUACGUUGCAAGUCAAAAAGGCCUUCUUUGCCUUGGUAGCCAACGGAGUCCGUGCAGCGCCGCUGUGGGAAAGUAAAAAGCAGAGCUUUGUAGGAAUGCUCACGAUUACAGAUUUCAUAAAUAUCCUACACAGAUACUAUAAAUCACCCAUGGUACAGAUUUAUGAAUUGGAAGAACAUAAGAUUGAAACGUGGAGGGAGUUGUACUUACAAGAAACCUUCAAGCCUUUGGUGAACAUCUCUCCAGAUGCGAGCCUCUUCGAUGCUGUAUACUCGUUGAUCAAAAAUAAAAUCCACAGAUUGCCAGUUAUUGACCCUAUCAGUGGGAACGCACUUUAUAUACUUACCCACAAAAGAAUCCUCAAGUUCCUCCAGCUUUUUGAGUCUCAUGAUUUGAAUAUUGAUGAACUCUUUGACUUGAACAUUUUGUUUCUUCUAAUUGUUCAUCUUUUCCUGAUAAUUAUAAGAUGUCUGACAUGCCAAAGCCUGCCUUCAUGAAGCAGAACCUGGAUGAGCUUGGAAUCGGAACGUACCACAAUAUUGCCUUCAUUCACCCAGACACUCCCAUCAUCAAAGCCUUGAACAUCUUCGUGGAGAGACGGAUAUCCGCAUUGCCUGUGGUGGAUGAGUCAGGAAAAGUUGUAGAUAUUUAUUCCAAGUUUGAUGUAAUUAAUCUUGCUGCUGAGAAAACGUACAAUAACUUGGACAUCACAGUGACCCAGGCCCUGCAGCACCGCUCGCAGUAUUUUGAGGGUGUGGUGAAGUGCAGUAAGCUGGAAACACUGGAGACCAUCGUGGACAGGAUAGUGAGAGCCGAGGUCCAUCGGCUGGUUGUAGUGAAUGAAGCAGAUAGCAUUGUGGGUAUUAUCUCCCUGUCAGACAUCCUGCAAGCCCUGAUCCUCACACCAGCAGGUGCCAAACAGAAGGAGACAGAGACUGAAUGACCGCCGUGAAUGUAGACGCCCGCGCAGGAGAACUUGAACAAAGUCUCGGGGUCACGGUUUGCCUCAUGAACACUGGCUGCAAUAGAAGAGAGUAAAAUGGCUAAGAAUGUAUACCAGGGUUUAGCGAUGGGUAUUUUUCCAGUGAUUUGUAAGUAUAGGAAAAGAUUUUAUGUGCUUGAAGAUUCAGGCUUGCGUUCAAAGACUGCCCUCAGACCUGUCUGAAGGAUUUUCAAUGCUGUAUGUCAUUAAAGUGCACUGUGUCCUGAAAUAGUACUACUUUUCAUUUCAAAGAAGUCACUGGGAUGGAACAGGUGACAGAAAGUGAGUGAACGGCACGUCCAGAUCACGGUGCCUUAUGUCCAAACGCAAUAUGUCACCGCCGCUGCCGCACGCCCCAAAGUGCUGCUGAAGAGACACCCAGCCCAAGUGUGAGCAUCUUCAGACCUUUUACCCAGUCUCUUCCUUUUCACUUAAUUGGUUGAAAAGUUUUAAUUUGAGUACAGGCAACUGAAAAUGUGAUGUGAUGCCUCUAAGCGCUCUGCAUCCGUCCUGUUCUGGCUGCCGUGUUAGCGAGGCCGGCUUGGCAACAGCGCUUUAUUUAUUUUUACUCUCAUGCAGGUUUCAACCUACAUCCUUUGGUGAGUAGACGUCACCAUACCUACGAAUAAAACCUUGAUUGUUCUCUCAAGUGGAAAAUCUCUGGAGAUUUUAGUUUGGAUCUGGAAAGGCUAUGCCUUCCAAACAGCCACUGUAGGGUCUUCUAAACGUUUAUGAAAACAGGCUGUGGUCGCAGGGAAGAAGUAACGGAAGACGUCUUUUUUUUUAUUGUGUGUUGAAAUGUAAACUCAUGAUGUUUGUGUGACCGCUGACAAGACGCUUGUAACUUUUAUUGUGACACAUAAAACAGUAUUGUCAUGCAGUUGAAGGGAAACUCUUUCCCCUCCCACACCCCACAACCCCCACAGCCCCCAGUGUCAGUGCUCUGAAAAUGUUGACACUAUAUAUCUGUGUGUGUAUAUAUGAGCAGAGUUUGGGGGUUUGUUUUGGGGUUUUGUUUCGUUUUGUUUUUCAGAUUGAAAAUUAAAAUAAAUCCUGUCUACCAGUUUGCUAAA